AUGUUCUGGUCUACCUGCAAAUCCGCGUAAUUUUCUUGCGCCUUUUACUAAAGAUCACCGUGGAGGGGGACAGCAGAAUGAGCUUCUAGACAUUUUUUGGUAGGCCGAACCCGUUUGCGUA